AUUGAACGCUGGCGGCAGGCCUAACACAUGCAAGUCGAGCGGAUGAAGGGAGCUUGCUCCUGGAUUCAGCGGCGGACGGGUGAGUAAUGCCUAGGAAUCUGCCUGGUAGUGGGGGAUAACGUCCGGAAACGGGCGCUAAUACCGCAUACGUCCUGAGGGAGAAAGUGGGGGAUCUUCCGACCUCACGCUAUCAGAUGAGCCUAGGUCGGAUUAGCUAGUUGGUGGGGUAAAGGCCUACCAAGGCGACGAUCCGUAACUGGUCUGAGAGGAUGAUCAGUCACACUGGAACUGAGACACGGUCCAGACUCCUACGGGAGGCAGCAGUGGGGAAUAUUGGACAAUGGGCGAAAGCCUGAUCCAGCCAUGCCGCGUGUGUGAAGAAGGUCUUCGGAUUGUAAAGCACUUUAAGUUGGGAGGAAGGGCAGUAAGUUAAUACCUUGCUGUCUUGACGUUACCAACAGAAUAAGCACCGGCUAACUUCGUG
rnacentral:rRNA from 1 species